rnacentral:siRNA from 1 species
GACAAGCCGACUUGCUUCUCUACA